GAUGAACGCUGGCGGCGUGCCUAAUACAUGCAAGUCGAGCGAAUGGAUUAAGAGCUUGCUCUUAUGAAGUUAGCGGCGGACGGGUGAGUAACACGUGGGUAACCUGCCCAUAAGACUGGGAUAACUCCGGGAAACCGGGGCUAAUACCGGAUAACAUUUUGAACCGCAUGGUUCGAAAAUGAAAGGCGGCUUCGGCUGUCACUUAUGGAUGGACCCGCGUCGCAUUAGUAAGUUGGUGAGGUAACGGCUCACCAAGGCAACGAUGCGUAGCCGACAUGAGAGGGUGAUCGGCCACACUGGGACUGAAACACGGCCCAGACGCCUACGGGGGGAAGCAGUAGGGAAUCUUCCGCAAUGGACGAAAGUCUGACAGAGCAACGCCGCGUGAGUGAUGAAGGCUUUGGGGUCGUAAAACUCUGUUGUUAGGAAAGAACAAGUGCUAGUUGAAUAAGCUGGCACCUUGACGGUACCUAACCAGAAAGCCACGGCUAACUACGUGCCAGCCGCCGCGGUAA
rnacentral:rRNA from 1 species